rnacentral:rRNA from 1 species
UACGGAGGAUCCAAGCGUUAUCCGGAUUUAUUGGGUUUAAAGGGUGCGUAGGCGGCUUAUUAAGUCAGGGGUGAAAGACGGUGGCUCAACCAUCGCAGUGCCUUUGAUACUGAUGAGCUUGAAUGAACUAGAGGUAGGCGGAAUGUGACAAGUAGCGGUGAAAUGCAUAGAUAUGUCACAGAACACCGAUUGCGAAGGCAGCUUACUAUGGUUUUAUUGACACUGAGGCACGAAAGCGUGGGGAUCAAACAGG